rnacentral:rRNA from 1 species
GCUGGCGGCGUGCUUAACACAUGCAAGUCGAACGAUGAUGCCCAGCUUGCUGGGUGGAUUAGUGGCGAACGGGUGAGUAACACGUGAGUAACCUGCCCCUGACUCUGGGAUAAGCGUUGGAAACGACGUCUAAUACUGGAUAUGAUCACUGGCCGCAUGGUCUGGUGGUGGAAAGAUUUUUUGGUUGGGGAUGGACUCGCGGCCUAUCAGCUUGUUGGUGAGGUAAUGGCUCACCAAGGCGACGACGGGUAGCCGGCCUGAGAGGGUGACCGGCCACACUGGGACUGAGACACGGCCCAGACUCCUACGGGAGGCAGCAGUGGGGAAUAUUGCACAAUGGGCGAAAGCCUGAUGCAGCAACGCCGCGUGAGGGAUGACGGCCUUCGGGUUGUAAACCUCUUUUAGUAGGGAAGAAGCGAAAGUGACGGUACCUGCAGAAAAAGCACCGGCUAACUACGUGCCAGCAGCCGCGGUAAUACGUAGGGUGCAAGCGUUGUCCGGAAUUAUUGGGCGUAAAGAGCUCGUAGGCGGUUUGUCGCGUCUGCUGUGAAAUCCCGAGGCUCAACCUCGGGCUUGCAGUGGGUACGGGCAGACUAGAGUGCGGUAGGGGAGAUUGGAAUUCCUGGUGUAGCGGUGGAAUGCGCAGAUAUCAGGAGGAACACCGAUGGCGAAGGCAGAUCUCUGGGCCGUAACUGACGCUGAGGAGCGAAAGCAUGGGGAGCGAACAGGAUUAGAUACCCUGGUAGUCCAUGCCGUAAACGUUGGGCGCUAGAUGUAGGGACCUUUCCACGGUUUCUGUGUCGUAGCUAACGCAUUAAGCGCCCCGCCUGGGGAGUACGGCCGCAAGGCUAAAACUCAAAGGAAUUGACGGGGGCCCGCACAAGCGGCGGAGCAUGCGGAUUAAUUCGAUGCAACGCGAAGAACCUUACCAAGGCUUGACAUACACCGGAAACGGCCAGAGAUGGUCGCCCCCUUGUGGUCGGUGUACAGGUGGUGCAUGGUUGUCGUCAGCUCGUGUCGUGAGAUGUUGGGUUAAGUCCCGCAACGAGCGCAACCCUCGUUCUAUGUUGCCAGCGGGUUAUGCCGGGGACUCAUAGGAGACUGCCGGGGUCAACUCGGAGGAAGGUGGGGAUGACGUCAAAUCAUCAUGCCCCUUAUGUCUUGGGCUUCACGCAUGCUACAAUGGCCGGUACAAAGGGCUGCGAUACCGUAAGGUGGAGCGAAUCCCAAAAAGCCGGUCUCAGUUCGGAUUGAGGUCUGCAACUCGACCUCAUGAAGUCGGAGUCGCUAGUAAUCGCAGAUCAGCAACGCUGCGGUGAAUACGUUCCCGGGCCUUGUACACACCGCCCGUCAAGUCAUGAAAGUCGGUAACACCCGAAGCCGGUGGCCUAACCCUUGUGGAAGGAGCCGUCGAAGGUGGGAUCGGUGAUUAGGACU